UACGACUGUGGCUAGAGUUGUUCGGAUUUACUGGGCGUAAAGCGCGUGUAGGCGGGUCGUUAAGUUGGAGGUGAAAUCCCGAGGCUCAACCUCGGAACUGCCUUCAAAACUGGCGACCUGGACUCAAGUAGAGGCAAGUGGAAUUGCGAGUGUAGAGGUGAAAUUCGUAGAUAUUCGCAGGAACACCAGUGGCGAAGGCGACUUGCUGGACUUGUAGUGACGCUGAGACGAGAAAGCGUGGGGAGCAAACAGG
rnacentral:rRNA from 1 species